rnacentral:rRNA from 1 species
CCUGUUGAUGCCAAUAGGAUAUUGAAUAUUCCUCUCGCUACAGGUAUGAUGGACGAUUUUGUGUCAUGGCACUAUAACAAAACAGGGAUUUUCUCAGUUAAGACGGCAUACCAUAUGGAGUGGGAUCACCAACAUGGACGAAAGUUGAGACAAACAAAUACCACAUUGUCUUCAAGUACUAGUCCAGUUUGGCGCACUCUUUGGAAGCUUCAAAUACCGGCAAAGAUCAAGGUGCAUGUUUGGAGAGCUUUGUAUGGUGCAAUCCCUUGCCGGGGAGUACUGGCCAAUCGACAUAUGAUAACAAUCUCCGACUGCCCGAUAUGUGCCACGGACUGCGAGAGUAUUCGUCAUUCUUUCUUUCGAUGCAACAGAGUGCAAGAGAUUUGGGCAAAGCUAGGCUUGCUACACAUCAUAAAUGAGCUGUCUGAAUCUGAGUUGGAGGGAUCUUCGGUCCUUGCUGACCUGAUGCUAAUGCCAAACGCUGCUGUCCCAUCGCUCCUGGGCGUGCCCAUGAAGGAGUUGGUUGCUGUGGCGGUUUGGUAUAUAUGGUGGGAACGACGGAGAUUCACCCAUGGUGAGCCCAUUCAGGAACCUGGAAGAUCGGCCCAAGCCAUUGUGACUCUAACCAAAAACUUCUUGAGGGCAAGGAAGCAUGGCGCGGGCAGGAUACAGAGACAUGGAUGGACGAGACCUUCAGAGGGAUUUGUUAGCCUCAAUAUUGACGCCUCUUUUGAUGCUGAUAGUGGCACCGGCGGGACAGGGGCCAUCAUACGGGACUCAACAGGCUCCUUCGUAGCGGCAUCCACGAGCAGUAUCCCGUUUGUCCAAGAUGCAGCGACGGCCGAGGCUCGGGGCCUUAAGGACGGGCUGGUGCUUGCAAACACCAUCGGCUGCAACAAAGUCGAGAUCAGGGCGGACUGUAUGGAGGUUAUCCAGAUAAUGCAAGGAGGCGGUAACUCCUUAGGACCGGCUGCGGCAAUCUAUGAGGAAUGUACUUUCUUGUGCCGUAAUUUUAUUUCUGUUAGUUUCAGUCAUUGCCCUAGGGAAGCCAAUAUGGCGGCUGAUCUUUUGGCUACUAAGUCGGAGCCCUCGCGAACUAUUGUAUGGCACCAACGAUGUAGCUCUUUUUCCACAUGA